UCCAUCCUCGCUGGAAUUUGUUUAUGUACUUGGCUAGAUCAACGAUUUUAUACAUUGAUGAUUUAGAAUGAAUCUUCUAGUGAAAGAAAACACUGCAUAAUGAGUUGCGCAACCUUUCAGUCACAACUUGGGUGCCUAAUGCAGAUUUUAGCUGAAGCGGCAGUGGAAGAACUAGGCAGACUGCUCGAUGAAAGCUCUGCUGCUGUACUGCCCAUAGAGACCGCGCACCUUGCAACAAACAGUAAUCUCAAAGUAAAACUACAGAGAGAACACAAAGCCAAAACCAGGGAGUUUGCGUUUUUUAUGGAGGUCCUGAGUAAAUCAGCUGUGGACAAAGUGAUGCUUUUGGUCAACAAGAUAAAGUUCCAGUGGCAAGAAUGUGAAAAUAAUUGUCCUAAAGGCCAGACAGAGUGGAGAGAUGCUCUAUUCAAAGCCCCUGACCACUUCAAUUACACUGCAAAUGGACCACCAACAACUGGGAAUUCUUCUGAAGAAUCCUCAUCCGAGUGUGAUGCACAGGAGGAGGAGGGGCGCUCAGAAGAACAGGAGCAGCAGCGAGAAACCAACACAGACCUGAUUGUGGGGCACAGUGAUGGACAGAGUGGUUGGACUUCACCUCAGAUUGACGUGUCUGCUCUGCUGCGAUUCACUUGUGAGACGUGUGGCAAGAUUUUCACUGAGAGGUUGCCCUUUAAGCGUCAUAUCAGGGUACACGCCAAAGCAUUCAGCUGCCCGUUAUGUGCCAAGUGCUUCACCUGGCAGAGUACACUGGAUGCCCACAUACAGCUGCAUUCUGGUGAGAAACCCUUCAAUUGUGACAGCUGCCCCAAGGGCUUCUCACUUAAGAGCAGACUGGAGUCUCACAAACGCCAUCAUAUUGCAAAUCAGCAGAUUAACUGUGCCCACUGCCAAAAGAGCUUCCCUAGCCAAAGUCGUCUGGACCGCCACAAGUGCAGUGCGGUCAAGACUUCCUUUGUCUGCCCCACCUGCGGAAAGACCUUUGUGUCCAAGAGCCGCAUGCUGGACCACCAGACGCUGCAUUCAGGUGAGAGACCCUUCUGUUGCGAGGUCUGUGGCCUCUUGUUCAGCUGUGAACGCUACCUGAAGAACCACCAGAAGAGCCACCAGAGUAUCAGUUGCCAUGUGUGUGACACAUGUGGCAAACGUUUUAAUCACGCCACUGGCCUGACAAAGCACAGUUUGGUCCAUACAGGCGAACAGCCCUUUGUCUGUCAUCUUUGCGGCCGACGCUUCAGCCUUGCCGGUAACCUGAAGCGCCACCAGAUCACCCAUACUGGACAGAAACUGUAUGGGUGCACCGUUUGCCCAAAAAGGUUCACUGCAUCUCAUUCACUUAAAUCCCACCUGCUGAGCCACAAUGGGGUCAAGCCAUUCAGCUGCGAUGUCUGUGGCAAGGGUUUUGUAAACCCAGCCUACCUGAAGAGGCACACCCACAUCCACAUGCCCAGGCGGCCAUUCGCUUGCAAGAUCUGUGCCAAGAGCUUCAGCUUUCCCAGUCUGCUCAGCAAGCACAUGAACGUGCACACAGGGAGGCAGGGUCUCUCGCCGGCCCGGGAGUACCCGUGCGGACAGUGUGACAAGGUCUUCUCGCUCAAGAGCUCGCUCGCCGUCCACCAGCGCGUCCACACGCAGGAGAAGCCCUACAGCUGCCGCAUCUGUGGGAAGCGGCUGGCCUACGCGGGCGGCCUCAGCACGCACAUGCGAGUCCACACGGGGGAGCGGCCGUACGGCUGCGACGCCUGCGGGAAGCGCUUCAGCCAGGCCGCACACCUCAAGAACCACCAGCGUGUGCACACAGGCCUCAGGGUCUUACAUUGUGCAAACUGCGGGAAGAAAUUUGGAGACCGGAAGCACCUUAGACUUCACAAUUGUGAACUUCAAAAAUACCUGUGAGGGAAGGAUCUGGUGCUCGUGUAACCAGGCGCCCAAAACAAUGCUCAUUUCAUACCCUGCAAAUCCACAGAAACAUGGAUGGGUUCAUUACCUAACUGUUCCUCAAGAAGCACAUGCUCAACCAUGUUCUGUCAAGCCCUUUCAACAACUGUGAUGGCAACAACUGGCAAGGGCUUAGUCAGCUCAGUCCACCUGAAAAUGCCCAGGCACAGAUGCAUGCCCAGAAGACCAUUUGUUAGUCAGGUCUGUGACAAGAGAUGCAGCUGGCAGUCUGCUAAAUAAGCAUACUUUGCACAACAGAGCCUUGCUCUAUGGAGCCCCAAAAGGUCACCUGUAGCCACUGUAACAGGAAGUUCCUACUGAAGGCCUCGCUCCACAUCCACCAGCAUGUUUGUUUAAAAGAGAGGCCCUACAGGUGUUGUAUCUGUGGGAAACAACUGGUCUACGCUGGUGCAUGGAGCACACAUGCGCAUACAUGGUAGGGAUACUAGUCCAAGCGCUUCAGUCAGGCUACACCUAAAAAAGGGACCUGGAAUAGUUUGAAGAAAUGAGCUUAGUGAGCUGAACACCUGUAGAAUUGUGUGUGUGUGUGUGUGUGUGUAUUGUAUUGUAAACAUAAAACAUUCCUUCACUAAUUGUCUUCUAAUUGUCAUUAAUUGUCUACAAAUGUUUUCUUUUACAC